rnacentral:rRNA from 1 species
UACGGAGGGUGCAAGCGUUGUCCGGAAUUAUUGGGCGUAAAGCGCACGUAGGCGGCUCUUUAAGUCUCUUGGUGAAAGGCUGGGGCUCAACCCCAUGCAUGCCGGGGAUACUGGGGAGCUGGAGACAGGUAGAGGCCAGCGGAAUUCCGGGUGUAACGGUGGAAUGCGUAGAGAUCCGGAAGAACACCGGAGGCGAAGGCGGCUGGCUGGACCUGAUCUGACGCUGAGGUGCGAAAGCGUGGGGAGCGAACAGG